CCUACGGGGGGCUGCAGUGGGGAAUAUUGGACAAUGGGCGCAAGCCUGAUCCAGCAAUGCCGCGUGUGUGAAGAAGGCCUGCGGGUUGUAAAGCACUUUAAGCAGGAAAGAAGGGGUGAAAGUUAAUACCUUUCAUCAUUGACGUUACCUGCAGAAUAAGCACCGACUAACUCCGUGCCAGCAGCCGCGGUAAUACGGAGGGUGCGAACGUUACUCGGAAUUACCGGAGGUAGAGCGAUCAUAGGCUGGUGAAAGCCCUGGGCUUAACCUGGGAACUGCGGUGGAUACUGUCGGGCUAGAGUGUGGUAGAGGGGAGUGGAAUUUCCGGUGUAGCAGUGAAAUGCGUAGAGAUCGGAAGGAACACCAGUGGCGAAGGCGGCUCCCUGGACUAACACUGACGCUGAGGUGCGAAAGCGUGGGGAGCAAACAGGAUUAGAUACCCCAGUAGUC
rnacentral:rRNA from 1 species